rnacentral:rRNA from 19 species
AAAUUGAAGAGUUUGAUCAUGGCUCAGAUUGAACGCUGGCGGCAGGCCUAACACAUGCAAGUCGAACGGUAACAGGAAGCAGCUUGCUGCUUUGCUGACGAGUGGCGGACGGGUGAGUAAUGUCUGGGAAACUGCCUGAUGGAGGGGGAUAACUACUGGAAACGGUGGCUAAUACCGCAUAACGUCGCAAGACCAAAGAGGGGGACCUUCGGGCCUCUUGCC